rnacentral:lncRNA from 1 species
UAACUUAUUCCACGUUAAAUAUUUUAAAAAAUUUGUCUAGUAUAUAAUGUGUCAGAUCAAUUUUUUUUAUAAUUAAUUAAUUUUGAGAUAAAUAGUUUAAUUGUAUAAUCAAGUGAGGAGAGUGUGAUCCUCAAGAUAUUUGGUUACACGUGAGGGGUCUCAUAUUUUCAUUUAGACAAAUAUAAACAAAUUUUGUCUAAUUAUGAUCCGGACAUUUUGUAAUAACUUUUUUAAAGCAUUUUUUAAUUAGGGACACUUGAAUUUCCUUUACAAUAAGUGCGAUAAGUAUUGUGUAGAGAUAUUUCACAUAAAUUCCAACAUAUUAUACAUUUAUACUGAAAUAAAAAUUCCAACACUAAAAAUUUGUAAAAAAAAUUUUAACACAUCAUUAACCAUGUACAUAUAUAUAAUGGAAAAUGAUACACAUUAAUAAAUAUGUGAUAUAUGACGAAAUUAAAUUGAAAUAAAUAUAUAAAAUUUAUAUAAAUAAAUAAAAUAAAUUACGAUAAAAUUAUUUUUAAUGCAUAUUUAUUUUAUGUAUAUAUAUAUAUGGUUCACGAUUAUAAUUUGAUUAAAAACUUUAGUAAUACAAUUACUAUUAUUAUAUUGUUGAAUGGACACUUGCGUAGUGUGGGAGAGAAAUGAAAGGGAAAGAGAGUUACGUGUAAGUCGAUAUGAUGAGGGCGAAUGGGGCCUUGGUGCUACGAAUCCAACCUAGAAUUCGAAAAUAGGUUUGUAUGGUUUGUUCAACUCACUUGUCAUAAUGACGACCUACACAACACUCCUUUAACGGCACUGUCACCUCUCUCUCUCUCUCUCUCUCUCUCUCUAUAUAUAUAUAUAUAUAUAGUAUCAACAAAUACAGAAAUUAAUUCGCAUCUAUAUAUAUAUAUCUAGCUGACAAACAAGAAGAGAUCGAUUGGAUUAAGAUGAUGGUGUAUGGUUUGGAUCAUAGUCGACGUGUAGUGUCAUUGGAUGAUAAGAGGCAGUUGAAGACGAGUAGUGCUUUGAUGCACAAGUGUUUUAGUUUGAGAGCUCUAAUCAUCAGUACGGUGGUCUUUACGGCGGCGCUCUUGCUGCUGCCGCUGCUGUUGCCGCCGCUUCCUCCGCCGCCGUCAACGCUACUCUUUGUUCCACUUGUGAUGCUGGCCAUACUAAUCCUCUUGGCCAUUUCUCCUUCUCAACUUCCAAAUUAAUGUUGCUCCUCCUAGGCCCUAGCUAAUUCUUCACUCUGACCUUUCUAUCUAUCUAUCUAUCUGUCUGUCUAUCUAUAUAUAUUAUUUAACUCUCGUACAAAGAUGAGAUGCAUGGGAUCCCAUGAUCAAUAUUAUAUAUAUAUAUAUAUAUAUAUAUAGCUUCUCGUUGGUAAUGUGGUGAUAUUAUUAAUUAAUUGCUUAAUGCUUCCUAAUUAAUUAAUUUGGACUUUCUAUUCCAUCACGGAUCCCUCAAUUAUGCCACUAAUAAAACUUGUUCUUCAAACUCACGUAACUACGUACUAUGAUCACAUAAUUUUAUUUAUUUAUUUAUUUAUUUAUUUCUGUCUAUCUGAUUAAUUAAUUAGUUUCAUAACAAUUCUAAGAAAAUUUUGCCUUUGGUUCAGUUAGAUAGUUAACUAAAGAUCACUCAUCCCGUAAUUAUGGUAGCUAGUUUUCUCCGUCCGAAAAGCCAUUUCUAAUAAGAAACUCUCUUUUUUUUCAAAUAUAUUUAUAUAACAUUUGUUAAAAAUAUAAUAAUAUAGUGAUGAAGUAAAUAUAAAUUAUGGUAUGUUACAAUUUUCAAGUCAAUUUAUACCAUAAAAUUAGAAAUAUAUACAAUUUUUAGAACUUAUUAGCAUACUUCCCCUGUUUUAAAUUGAUUUUUAAAAAAUUAACUUUAAAUAUUUUCAAACUCAAAAUUGAAAUGAAUUUGUUUAGUUUAUAUAAAUACAAUUAUAAAUAUUAUAAAUUUUUAAAAAAGUAUUACUAGUUAUAAAUUAAUUAUUUUAAAAUUUUAAAAAAAUUGUGUUAAUUUUAAAUUUAAAAAUAUUAUAAAUUAAUUUUUAAAAAAUUAAUAUUAAUUUUAUAAUUCUUAACGGAAGAAGUAUAUUUUUUGCAUUAACUAGAGAUUCCUUUCACAUAAAGGAGGCCAAUAAUAAAUAAAGAAUGUUAAGUUAUCCAUGUUAUAAAAUUAUAACAUAUAUAUUUAUGGAUGUCUAGAUUUAUAUUUAAUUAUAAUGAUCUUUGGUAUUUUGGAACUCCCAAGUUCAUUAAGUAACUCCAAUGUUCAUUAAGUUUUAAACUCAUGACUUUUGAGUUUUGAAACUUUCAAGUCCUUAUAUCUAUAAAUAAGAGCAUUGUAAAAGAGAAUGGUGGAUAUAUGAAUGAGAUAUGAAAAUAUUAUGAGACAUGCCUCUUUUCUCUAAUCAUUUAUUCUUAAUUUUAGUAAUUUUUUAUAACACGUUAUCAGCACGAAUUAAUUGCUCUUUAUUUUUGUCUUGUAGUAGAUAAUCAUAUUUGGUUUGUUGAUAAGAAGAAGAAAAAAAUAAUGGAACUUGAACUUUUAGCUUCCCUUGAGUAGUUGAGAAUGGACUCAGUUUUCAUGGUGAUUUAGCAGCAACAGUGUAAGUAUGGUUCAUACUACUUGUCUUAUUAUUUGAUUUUAAAUUUCUGUAUGGAAAUGAUAUUUUUGUUUCUGAAAUUUAUCCCAUAUCACUUUAUUUUAAUCUAUAUAUACAUCAUUUCCUGAGAUACUUAUUAUCAGGUUUCUAUUUGAUCUUGUGAUUAACACAAAUGUCAGGUUUCUGGUAGCCACUCUUCUCAUUAAACUUUAAAAAAUUGGUGCACCGCAAUAUUAACAUCAAUGCUAGCUGGUAGUUGACGAGGAUCAAAGUUAUAGUAAUUGGGCAUAUGUGAUUGACUUCCCUAUCAUACCCAUUACAUUGAGAAGAAAGUGGUAGAAAAUUUUGGAACUCAAAUGUUGAUUUUUAUUUUUUUAGGACCGUUUAAAAAUGUGGCAUUCAGUUCAGAGAGGUUUAACACAUACUGUACGUCCUGUCGUUGACUGAUAUACGUAUAAAUUGUAUUUUCUGCUCAUCUUCUUUAUUUUAUGUCAAAGUCUAAUAUACAUACGUAUACAAUAUUUUUGAUAGAAAAAUUAUGUUUCUGCUCCUAGAGUUAAUUAGUUUGUUUGCAGCAUAUAUAUGGUGUUUAGUCAAAUCAACAUAACGCUGAAAAUAAUGUUAUAGAUAUCCAAUUAUAUACGUAUAAUAUACAUAUACGUAUUGUUUCAUUACAAUUAAAUUUGAUAUACAUAUAAUCAUUUUGUUUAACAAAAGACGCGUGAGAC